UACGGAGGGUGCGAGCGUUGUCCGGAAUCAUUGGGCGUAAAGGGCGCGUAGGUGGCGGGACAAGCGUGCGGUGGAAGCCUGGGGCUCAACCCCGGGUCGGCCGUGCGAACUGUUUUGCUUGAGCACUGUAGAGGCAGGCGGAAUUCCGGGUGUAGCGGUGGAAUGCGUAGAGAUCCGGAAGAACACCGGUGGCGAAGGCGGCCUGCUGGGCAGUAGCUGACACUGAGGCGCGACAGCGUGGGGAGCAAACAGG
rnacentral:rRNA from 1 species